AGAGUUCGAUCCUGGCUCAGGAUGAACGCUGGCGGCGCGCCUAACACAUGCAAGUCGAACGGCACCCCUCUCCGGAGGGAAGCGAGUGGCGAACGGCUGAGUAACACGUGGAGAACCUGCCCCCUCCCCCGGGAUAGCCGCCCGAAAGGACGGGUAAUACCGGAUACCCCGGGGUGCCGCAUGGCACCCCGGCUAAAGCCCCGACGGGAGGGGAUGGCUCCGCGGCCCAUCAGGUAGACGGCGGGGUGACGGCCCACCGUGCCGACAACGGGUAGCCGGGUUGAGAGACCGACCGGCCAGAUUGGGACUGAGACACGGCCCAGACUCCUACGGGAGGCAGCAGUGGGGAAUCUUGCGCAAUGGGGGGAACCCUGACGCAGCGACGCCGCGUGCGGGACGGAGGCCUUCGGGUCGUAAACCGCUUUCAGCAGGGAAGAGUCAAGACUGUACCUGCAGAAGAAGCCCCGGCUAACUACGUGCCAGCAGCCGCGGUAAUACGUAGGGGGCGAGCGUUAUCCGGAUUCAUUGGGCGUAAAGCGCGCGUAGGCGGCCCGGCAGGCCGGGGGUCGAAGCGGGGGGCUCAACCCCCCGAAGCCCCCGGAACCUCCGCGGCUUGGGUCCGGUAGGGGAGGGUGGAACACCCGGUGUAGCGGUGGAAUGCGCAGAUAUCGGGUGGAACACCGGUGGCGAAGGCGGCCCUCUGGGCCGAGACCGACGCUGAGGCGCGAAAGCUGGGGGAGCGAACAGGAUUAGAUACCCUGGUAGUCCCAGCCGUAAACGAUGGACGCUAGGUGUGGGGGGACGAUCCCCCCGUGCCGCAGCCAACGCAUUAAGCGUCCCGCCUGGGGAGUACGGCCG
rnacentral:rRNA from 1 species